AAUACAUGCAAGUCGAACGCACUCUCGUUUAGAUUGAAGGAGCUUGCUCCUGAUUGAUAAACAUUUGAGUGAGUGGCGGACGGGUGAGUAACACGUGGGUAACCUGCCCUAAAGUGGGGGAUAACAUUUGGAAACAGAUGCUAAUACCGCAUAAAACCUAACACCGCAUGGUGUAGGGUUGAAAGAUGGUUUCGGCUAUCACUUUAGGAUGGACCCGCGGUGCAUUAGUUAGUUGGUGAGGUAAAGGCUCACCAAGACCGUGAUGCAUAGCCGACCUGAGAGGGUAAUCGGCCACACUGGGACUGAGACACGGCCCAGACUCCUACGGGAGGCAGCAGUAGGGAAUCUUCCACAAUGGACGAAAGUCUGAUGGAGCAACGCCGCGUGAGUGAAGAAGGUUUUCGGAUCGUAAAACUCUGUUGUUGGAGAAGAAUGUAUCUGAUAGUAACUGAUCAGGUAGUGACGGUAUCCAACCAGAAAGCCACGGCUAACUACGUGCCAGCAGCCGCGGUAAUACGUAGGUGGCAAGCGUUGUCCGGAUUUAUUGGGCGUAAAGCGAGCGCAGGCGGUUUCUUAAGUCUGAUGUGAAAGCCUUCGGCUCAACCGAAGAAGUGCAUCGGAAACUGGGAAACUUGAGUGCAGAAGAGGACAGUGGAACUCCAUGUGUAGCGGUGAAAUGCGUAGAUAUAUGGAAGAACACCAGUGGCGAAGGCGGCUGUCUGGUCUGUA
rnacentral:rRNA from 1 species